rnacentral:tRNA from 1 species
GCCGGGAUGGCGGAAUUGGCAGACGCGCUGGACUCAAAAUCCAGAGGAUUUUUCAAAAUCCGUGAGGGUUCGACCCCCUCUCCCGGCACAA